rnacentral:rRNA from 1 species
UACGUAGGGUGCAAGCAUUAAUCGGAAUUAUUGGGCGUAAAGGGCGCGUAGGCGGGAAGAUAAGUCGUGUGUGAAAUUCUGGGGCUCAACCUCGGAGCUGCACAGGAAACUAUCUAUCUAGAGGGUAGGCGGAGAAAACGGAAUUCCACAAGUAGCGGUGAAAUGCGUAGAUAUGUGGAAGAACACCUGUGGCGAAGG